rnacentral:rRNA from 1 species
UGGGGAAUAUUGGACAAUGGGGGGAACCCUGAUCCAGCCAUGCCGCGUGUGUGAAGAAGGCCUUAUGGUUGUAAAGCACUUUAAGCGAGGAGGAGGGUACUGGUAUUAAUACUACCAGCUACUGGACGUUACUCGCAGAAUAAGCACCGGCUAACUCUGUGCCAGCAGCCGCGGUAAUACAGAGGGUGUAAGCGUUAAUCGGAAUUACUGGGCGUAAAGCGCGCGUAGGUGGUUCGUUAAGUUGAAUGUGAAAGCCCCGGGCUCAACCUGGGAACUGCAUCCAAAACUGGCGAGCUAGAGUAGGGCAGAGGGUGGUGGAAUUUCCUGUGUAGCGGUGAAAUGCGUAGAUAUAGGAAGGAACACCAGUGGCGAAGGCGACCACCUGGGCUCAUACUGACACUGAGGUGCGAAAGCGUGGGGAGCAAACAGG